rnacentral:lncRNA from 1 species
UUCAUAAAUAAUACUUUAUGAUUAAAUGCUUCUUACACAUGGACUACGCUAUGGUUACAAAUGUACAUGAUAAUAAAACAUGUGUAGCAGUGGUGCAUACAUCUGUCAAUGUUAAAAAUAGAUUUGUAAAAAAUAAAAAAAUUGUUUAAUGUCUGAUAUAAAUCAAUAAUUUUGUAAACAAAUGUCUGGCUGCCAAGUUGAAGAAUUAUAAAUUUUACUCAUGCACCAUAAUCAAUAACAACAAAAAGUGAAAAAUAAAA